rnacentral:rRNA from 1 species
AUUGCACGUCUAAGCAGUAAGGCUGAGUAUUAGGCAAAUCCGGUACUCGUUAAGGCUGAGCUGUGAUGGGGAGAAGACAUUGUGUCUUCGAGUCGUUGAUUUCACACUGCCGAGAAAAGCCUCUAGAUAGAAAAUAGGUGCCCGUACCGCAAACCGACACAGGUAGUCAAGAUGAGAAUUCUAAGGUGAGCGAGCGAACUCUCGUUAAGGAACUCGGCAAAAUGACCCCGUAACUUCGGGAGAAGGGGUGCUCUUUAGGGUUAACGCCCAGAAGAGCCGCAGUGAAUAGGCCCAAGCGACUGUUUAUCAAAAACACAGGUCUCUGCUAAACCGUAAGGUGAUGUAUAGGGGCUGACGCCUGCCCGGUGCUGGAAGGUUAAGAGGAGUGGUUAGCUUCUGCGAAGCUACGAAUCGAAGCCCCAGUAAACGGCGGCCGUAACUAUAACGGUCCUAAGGUAGCGAAAUUCCUUGUCGGGUAAGUUCCGACCCGCACGAAAGGCGUAACGAUUUGGGCACUGUCUCAACGAGAGACUCGGUGAAAUCAUAGUACCUGUGAAGAUGCAGGUUACCCGCGACAGGACGGAAAGACCCCGUGGAGCUUUACUGUAGCCUGAUAUUGAAAUUCGGCACAGCUUGUACAGGAUAG